GUGGGGAAUCUUCCGCAAUGGACGAAAGUCUGACGGAGCGACGCCGCGUGAGUGAAGAAGGCCUUCGGGUUGUAAAGCUCUGUCAUCAGGGACGAACGGCCGGUGGAGUGGAAAGCCAUCGGAUUGACGGUACCUGAGAAGGAAGCCACGGCUAACUACGUGCCAGCAGCCGCGGUAAUACGUAGGUGGCAAGCGUUGUCCGGAAUUAUUGGGCGUAAAGCGCGCGCAGGUGGGAUCUUAAGUCCUUUUUUAAAGUUCGGAGCUCAACUCCGUGAUGGGAUGGAAACUGGGAUUCUUGAGUACCGGAGAGGAAAGCGGAAUUCCCCGUGUAGCGGUGAAAUGCGUAGAUAUGGGGAGGAACACCAGUGGCGAAGGCGGCUUUCUGGACGGUGUCUGACACUGAGGCGCGAAAGCCAGGGGAGCGAACGGGAUUAGAUACCCUUGUAGUCC
rnacentral:rRNA from 1 species